GUCCAGACUCCUACGGGAGGCAGCAGUGGGGAAUAUUGCACAAUGGGGGAAACCCUGAUGCAGCGACGCCGCGUGAGCGAUGAAGUAUUUCGGUAUGUAAAGCUCUCUCAGCAGGGAAGAAAAUGACGGUACCUGACUAAGAAGCCCCGGCUAACUACGUGCCAGCAGCCGCGGUAAUACGUAGGGGGCAAGCGUUAUCCGGAUUUACUGGGUGUAAAGGGAGCGUAGACGGCUGUGCAAGCCAGAUGUGAAAGCCCGGGGCUCAACCCCGGGACUGCAUUUGGAACUGCGUGGCUUGAGUGUCGGAGAGGCAGGCGGAAUUCCUGGUGUAGCGGUGAAAUGCGUAGAUAUCAGGAGGAACACCGGUGGCGAAGGCGGCCUGCUGGACUGCAACUGACGUUGAGGCCCGAAAGCGUGGGGAGCAAACAGGAUUAGAUACCCCGGUAU
rnacentral:rRNA from 1 species